CUAGAGUUUGACUGUACCAUUUUGAAUAAGUGACGACUAACUAUGUGCCAGCAGUCGCGGUAAUACAUAGGUCGCAAGCGUUAUCCGGAUUUAUUGGGCGUAAAGCAAGCGCAGGCGGAUUGAAAAGUCUGGUGUUAAAGGCAGCUGCUUAACAGUUGUAUGCAUUGGAAACUAUUAAUCUAGAGUGUGGUAGGGAGUUUUGGAAUUUCAUGUGGAGCGGUGAAAUGCGUAGAUAUAUGAAGGAACACCAGUGGCGAAGGCGAAAACUUAGGCCAUUACUGACGCUUAGGCUUGAAAGUGUGGGGAGCAAAUAGGAUUAGAUACCCUAGUAGUCCACACCGUAAACGAUAGAUACUAGCUGUCGGGGCGAUCCCCUCGGUAGUGAAGUUAACACACUAAGUAUCUCGCCUGGGUAGUACAUUCGCAAGAAUG
rnacentral:rRNA from 1 species